rnacentral:rRNA from 1 species
CCUACGGGGGGCAGCAGUGAGGAAUAUUGGUCAAUGGGCGCGAGCCUGAACCAGCCAAGUCGCGUGAGGGAAGACGGUCCUAUGGAUUGUAAACCUCUUUUGUCGGGGAGCAAAAGACGCCACGUGUGGCGUUCCGAGAGUACCCGAAGAAAAAGCAUCGGCUAACUCCGUGCCAGCAGCCGCGGUAAUACGGAGGAUGCGAGCGUUAUCCGGAUUUAUUGGGGUUAAGGGGUGCGCAGGCGGAAGAUCAAGUCAGCGGUAAAAGUGAGAGGCUCAACCUCUUCGAGCCGUUGAAACUGGUUUUCUUGAGUGAGCGAGAAGUAUGCGGAAUGCGUGGUGUAGCGGUGAAAUGCAUAGAUAUCACGCAGAACUCCGAUUGCGAAGGCAGCAUACCGGCGCUCAACUGACGCUCAUGCACGAAAGUGUGGGUAUCGAACAGGAUUAGAUACCCGGGUAGUC